GAUGAACGCUGGCGGCGUGCCUAAUACAUGCAAGUCGAGCGAACGGACGAGAAGCUUGCUUUUCUGAUGUUAACGGCGGACGGGUGAGUAACGCGUGGAUAACCUACCUAUAAGACUGGGAUAACUUCGGGAAACCGGAGCUAAUACCGGAUAAUAUUUUGAACCGCAUGGUUCAAAAGUGAAAGACGGUCUUGCUGUCACUUAUAGAUGGAUCCGCGCUGCAUUAGCUAGUUGGUAAGGUAACGGCUUACCAAGGCAACGAUGCAUAGCCGACCUGAGAGGGUGAUCGGCCACACUGGAACUGAGACACGGUCCAGACUCUUACGGGAGGCAGCAGUAGGGAAUCUUCCGCAAUGGGCGAAAGCCUGACGGAGCAACGCCGCGUGAGUGAUGAAGGUCUUCGGAUCGUAAAACUCUGUUAUUAGGGAAGAACAUAUGUGUAAGUAACUGUGCACAUCUUGACGGUACCUAAUCAGAAAGCCACGGCUAACUACGUG
rnacentral:rRNA from 1 species